AGCGAACGUUUGCGGCGGGCUUAACACAUGCAAGUCGAACGGGCUGUUCCUUCGGGGGCGAGUCAGUGGCGCACGGGUGCGUAACACGUAGGUAAUCAACCCUCUGGUUGGGGAUAACACUUCGAAAGGAGUGCUAAUACCCGGUAUGGCGCAGCGGUCUUCGGAUCGCGGCGAGAAAGACCCGCAAGGGUUGCCAGAGGACGAGCCUGCGGCCCAUCAGCUAGUUGGCGAGGUAACGGCUCACCAAGGCGAAGACGGGUAGCUGGUCUGAGAGGAUGAUCAGUCACACUGGAACUGAGACACGGUCCAGACUCCUACGGGAGGCAGCAGUGGGGAAUAUUGCACAAUGGACGAAAGUCUGAUGCAGCAACGCCGCGUGGAGGAUGACACAUUUCGGUGCGUAAACUCCUUUUAUAUAGGAAGAUAAUGACGGUACUAUAUGAAUAAGCACCGGCUAACUCCGUGCCAGCAGCCGCGGUAAAGUCUAG
rnacentral:rRNA from 1 species